ACUGAGAUUACAGGUGUGCCCCACGGUGCCCGGCUUAUUUUUUAUUUUGAGACAGGGUCUCUGUGACUUGCUCAGGGCUUAAGUUGCUGAGGUUGGUCUUGAACUUGCAAUCCUCCUGCCUCCCAAUUAACAUAGGUGUGUGCCGGUGCACACAGCUACUGUGUCUCAUUUAUAGUUAAACUUUCUCGCAUGCACAGUAUAUAUUUGUUUUGGUGCGAUGCAAUUUCAUAUACCCACUGGGGGUCUUGCAAUGUACCCCCUAAGGAUAAGGGGGAGCCCUGUAAUUCUCAGAUUGUGUUUGGUCGCAGUUACUUGAGAGUGCCCCCAAUUCUCUGGGGAAUUGUUCUGAAGCACCUGGCGCUUCCUGGUGCCAUAUCUUCUAACCACAGGUGACUAUUUGUAUCUAAGUGAAGUACAUGGGUAACUAGUUAGUCGUGGCUUAGUCACUAGCUAAAAUCCAACCUACUAAUAGUUGGCUUCUCCAUCAUCCUUCCCACAUCUCAGGGGCUCCAUGGCUACGGGUGGCCUCCGUGUGUGACAGCGGCGUUUGUACACGUGACGCUGACUUCUGUUUCAGUGGUCACCCUAAAAGAGUGUGGUCUUGCACCUGAUCACCCUGGCAACGUCUGCAGGUCCCCGGUUUCCUAUUUCCCGUCAGAGCUUUGCGGACUUUGUUUCCUUCACACAUUCCUCUUUUCUCCCCACCCUCAUCCUCACUGUGACGUAAAAUCUGGGUGAUGAGGCACUUCCCACGUUGCAAAUCCAUUGCAACUGGGUGUCGAGGGUUGGUUUACUGUGCGUGUGCAAACUACCCACUAGCCCGGGCGCAGGCUGUUUUAAGGAAGGCUUGGCUCCCCUCUGUGGCCAGGGGUUGAGUGAGGUCAGCGCCAGGCUGGGCCACUCCUGUCCGGGCACCUGCUGCCCCAGAUCUCCAGGCAGCUGGAAACGGGGGAGCCUAAGAACGCACGGAGGACCCAACAACAGACUCAGGCUUAGGACGGUAUUUUUUAUUUUUGCCUGUUUUUGGAAAACAUUCGGACACCUUGUGCCUCAAAAUGAUUUUCUGGAUUCACAAAAAAUCCCAACUCCGACGGUUUUCCUUCUUCCUUCUCAGAGGUGGAAUUUGUUCCCGUUUGGGUCAGCAAGAAGUGAGAGCAAAGUCCCCGGGGGCGUCUCCUGGUGUCACACAGAUUUGGAUGGUGGUUCCCUCUUCGUCCCAAAAUACGCGUUGGGGGUUUACCACUUGAUCAGCGCUGAAUAUGCUCCUGGGGUUUAGGGCACGACUUGUCUAGCACCGGUCCUCGUGGCUGUUAUGAUCUAGACAGCAAGGCUAGUGUGGUAAGCGUCAGGAACUGUGAACAGGCCAAGUGCACGCCUGUCAUCCCAGCAGCUCGGGAGGCUGAGGCAGGAGGAUCGCGAGUUCAAAGCCAGCCUCAGCCAAAGUGGGGCGCUGAGCAACUCAGACCCUGUCUCUCAAUAAAAUACAAAACUGGGCUGGGGAUGGGUCUCCGUGUUCGAGGGCUCCCGAGUUCAAUCCCCAGUACCCCUCCUCCCCCGCAAAAGAACCAUGAAUAGGUACAAAAAUGUGAUGUAAUUGGCCAAGACUGCGCGGGCUGUUAGGGGAAACCACACACUGAGGAGGCCGAAACGUUCAGAUUUUGCCCAAAAGGCCACAGAGAAAGGAGCGCGGUGAAAGCAAAGGUCGCGGGCUUUGGGGUCGGGACCUCUGGGUUCAAAUUCCUGGUGCAUUGCUUAUGUGCGGCCGCAGAACAAACCGUCAGCUCUCAGUUUAAAACAAUCAACAGCAUUAUCAAUGUUUCUGGGCGUAAGAAUUUAGCUGGGGGUUCUGAUCCAGGACUUCUUGUGGGACUGCAGAGAGAAGCUUUAGCUGGGGUGGGUGGAUCUGCUUCCAAGAUGAGUCACCAGGGUGGCUUUGGGUGGAAACCCUCCUUUUUGGUCAUUUGGUCAUUUAAUCUUUUUCUUUGCCUUUGUUCCCAAAGGUCAGUGUCAAGAAGGUGGAGAAAAGUUGGCUGAGGAAAGAUAUGUGAUUGCAACAGAGACCGUUUCUUGGUUCCUCUGAGCAAUCCUAAUCAAGCCAGCGCUCACAUCUCCAUAACUGACGGCUCUGCCACAGGCUUCAAGUUGGAAGGAAAUGAGGUCCAGCACUGCCUUUUCCAGAAUGCAUUCAUUGUUGGGUGUUUCUGGAAUUAUUGAGCGGGCCCGGGGCUGUCAGAAUCAUUUAGGUGGCUGGUUCAUGUUGCACAACUGUGUGAAUGAACAAUGAGCAACUGAAAUCCACGUGGGUCUGUCGGUUUGAAAUGACUGCCAUGAUGAUCUUUUUCUUUUUUUUGUUGGUGCUGGGGAUUGAACCCAGGGCCUUGUGCAUUGAGGCAAGCACUCUGCCAACUGAGCUACGUCCUCAGGCCUGAAAUGACUGGCUGAAUGCUCUUUAUUGAUGCUUUAGCUUUAAUGUUUCAAACGAUGCUACAUUACAGUUUUGGACGUUGGACAAGAUAUCUCAAAAACAAACCAAACCCAACAAUAAAUGGAGGUCAUCAUCUACCAUAAUCCCGUGUCGUAGUUAAACGUUAUCCAGUGAUGACUCCCCAGUCAAUAAUAUUUCAAGGAAACGGCAUUUACUCAGGAUGAUGUUUUCAGUACUAUCACGAAUGGGAUUGCUGUUAUUCUCCUAAGGAGCUUGAUCUUGGCAAGCAUUUACAGGAUUCAUUAUAAUGAAUCAUAAAAAAUACUUUUUAAAAAAUAAAUCUUCCUAAUAACGAAUUAUCCAGUCCUUAGCACAAAGGAAACUGAAUUUAUUGUUUGCACGUUCAGAGUUUCAUGUAUUUCCAGCAGACAGAUCACAGGGGCAGGCUGAAUUCAUUUUUCGAUGUACGAAUUGCUACCUUUUCUCCAGUUCUGUAGUUUCCUAUAAGGUCCAUAGAUCAGUGAUGCUUUAGAAGCUGGUUCUGAGUUUGAAUUGGCCUCUCUGUUGCCUCUUGUCUUAAAACUGAUCAAGAACAUGGACAGUUUAAUGCAUGUUCUAAUACACACCAGUUCAGAGCCACAGUGAAAUCUGUUCUCAUGGGCUACUUGACAUCAAUCCAUCCAUCUCCAUGCUUGACGGAACAUUUCCUAAGAGGCUAUGGAUUUGGAAGGUCGGCUUUGGACAGGGGUGGCGGCGCUGUGGUUGGAGAACAUUCAGGCUGAAUAAAGGACCAUUAAACUGACGUUUUAUAUUUUGGGUAAUUACCCAGAAUACAGAGGCAGUUUUCCGCGCUUGAGAAACUUCCUGCUAUGGUGGGAGCAUCGUCUUGAUUUUUGUUUUAAAAUUUAUUGUGCCCGACAGGCUGAGUUCUCUUGGGAGGCCUUCGGAAUACCGGGUUUGCUUCCUGAGCUGAGGUUUUCUACCUCUCUGUGAGCUCCCCUUCAUCUGAUUCUCUGAAGAUAACUUGAUACAUCCAAGAUCUUCUUGUUCACGUGUAGCUUUUAAUAUUUAGCCCAUUACAUGCAGAGGAUAAUGAAAAAGUCUUGUGUUAAUCUGUUUCCAAGACAAAUAUUUGAUGGAACAGGUGGGAUUUUAUUUCAAUAUUUCCCUCAAACUCGAUUAAACUAUUAAGCUUUGUUUUGUAGGGGGAAAAAAACGAGCUUAUGUUCUACCCUGUCUCAGUCUGAUUCUUAGUUUUUGUCAAUUAAACAAUAUGUCACAAUUUCGUAAUUCGCACGGGUUGUCGGCAAUCACAUCUAGACAGUGAUUGGAAAUUCAGAAAGGCAGAGGAAAUAUCUUUACUCCCUUUAUCAGAAUUUUCAGCCAGGAAAAGGAACUUUACAGAAGGAGAUACAUUGUCUCUGAGAAGCAAAAUUUAAUUGAUGUGUGAAAAACACUCAUGUCCAAAAAACAAAAAAAAAUAUGGUUGGCUGCUUUAAAGACUUGAGUUAAAAAAAAUUGUGUCUGAUCUACUGAAUCAUCUGAUUGAAGGGGUGAAAACCUUGGCAAACUUUUUUCCUGAUCAAAGGUCUUGCCAUUUUGCCCAGGCUGGUCUCAAACUCUUAGGCUCAAGUGAUCCUCCUGCCUCAGCCUCCCCAUCAGCUGGCACAUCAGGGACAUGCCACAUGCCCAGCGCAUUCUUGCACUUGGAAGGAGACGUUGCCCCCCAUGUCUGACCACAGGUUGUGCAUGCUUACGGACCUGGGCACCCGUGAGGGCAAUGCACACGACCUCAACAUUAAGUACAAGAGGCCAUGUUUCUGCCGUGGUUCGGUAAUGAGCCUACUCCCAGGAAAGACGAUCUGCACAUUCCGAUUUGGCAAGCUUGUUACAAGGCAAGCUUGUUGAUUUUCCUUCCUUACCUGAAACUGGCUCUCCUCAGCCGUCGGAUUUAAAACCCUGAGCGAUGGGUUUGCUUUCCACCUUGAAGAUUUUGUUGGGAAAAAACAACUUUAGGAAACAAAAGGAAAAAAAAAAAAAAAGAAAUCCAAGAAAGAAACCGUCACAAAAACCCAAACAGACACAACAACCCGCUUUAACACAGUCAUAAAACCUACCACGAGAUAAGGUGGGGACACUUCUUUAAAAAGAAGGACCUAAUAGUGAUUUGUUUUUAAGGAGUGCCAACGAGAUGUGUAAGGGAGAUGGUACAUUUUUACACUGGGCUCUUGUGAGUCCUGGGCACUGGACUUAUAUUUUUGGCCAGGGCUUAUUUUUGUCUUGGUUCUCCCCUUUUCUAAAUCUGGUGGAAUUGUUUUCUCGGGACCUCAGAUUGUUGGCUUGAGUUGCAACCAGACAGACUGGAGCAUUUUUUUUUUUUUCCAGUAUCCUUUUCUUCUUGUUUCUCAUCUUUUAUUUCUCAAAAUACAUGUGCUUUUUAUAGCUAUGGGAGCGAUUUUCAAAUCAGGCUGCCUGAAAAUAGUUUGAAUUAGAAUAUAUUAGGGGGGAAAUCACCAUCUACCACCCAGCACACCAUGUUGCGUUUUAUUAAAAGCAGUCUUUUGGAGGCUGCAGACAGGGGAGAAAAGAAGUGGAAAAUGUUCCCUCUCAGCUUUGAUCGAAGCCACGGUUUUUGUUUAUAGGAAUCAUCUUGACUGUCCGAUGGACCCGUUGAUUGGAAAUGUCUUGAACCACGUCUGGUUUCUCUUCUGCUCUCUCUGUUCACAUUUCUCUGCACACCUCUUCCCGAGGGCUGUAGAUGUUCCCAUGUUCCCAGCCCGGGGCAUUAGCUUUGUAAGGUCCCCAACAGCUGGUCCCUGUGGGUGCCCUUCUCCUGCCCUCACCCACUGACCCUUCCUGGCCUGCCACUCUUUAUGUUUUUAAUCUGUGCUUACGGUGCCACGUUAGACUCCUCGUUUGUAAGAGCGUCUCCUUAUUUCCAUGAGAUCAUUCCUUAGAGUAACACCCUGCUUGUAUCUUAUUACCCCAAAGUUUAUCCUUUUCCAUUUCAAUUAGAGCACACACCCCUCUAAGUUGGUGCUGAUGAUUCUUCAAACACUUGGCACCUUAGAACACGCGCCGUGCAUGUUCAUAGUGCCCUACAAUUGCUCCCCUGCACAUUUGUCCAAAGGAAAUGGAAUUCAUGUCCGCAGAAAGACACACCAUGUGAAUGACCUUCACAGAUUGACUCACCAGAGUCCCAAACUGGAAACAGUUCCUGGUGUCCUCCUAGACGAACUAUAGUAGAUUCAAACUGUGGAAUAUUAUUUGGUAAUGAAAAGGAACUAAGGAUUGUUACAGGCAAUAACUUGGAUGUCUCUCAAGGAAAGGUGCUGAGUGAAAAAGCUGAUCAAUCAUCAACCGAGGGCCACUCCCAAGACAGAAUCAUCCCCCUGCACUGACCGCUGGUUGCUUGAAAGAGCAGAGCAGAAGCUGGUCUCUAUAAAACCCCUGAGUUGUGGGUGCCUGCAAUCAGAAGGUACAGAUUGGCCCAAGUGCACAUUUACACACCAAGGGAUAUGGACGAAUGUACCCUGGGCUAACCGCCUGAGGUCCACUUGAAGAAACCUACGUAGAACAAAGAGAAAAAGAGAAAGGAUACAGAAAAAGAGGAGAUUAGCAGACCAUUCUGGGGGUCCCAUGGCUAAAUAAGAGAGAUUCCAGAAGGAGACAAGAGUAAAAAAUAAAAAUGAUGAGUAAACAGUUUUUUAAAAAUUGAGGUUGCCAUUGCUGGUUCUGCUGGGAUGGUGGUGGCAGCUCAGUGCUGAACGGUCUUCUCGCAGGAGAUAUGCAGGAAAAACACAUUGCCAGGGGCCCUGGGGGCAGAAAAUGCACAACCCCCAAACUGAAAGCCCAGCUGCUGACGUUGGAACCGUACAGGGGAAGCCUGGGCCGGAAGCUGCAGCAGUUCUACCUAAUAAGGGUCCAGGCUCGCAGCUAGAAGGCCUUGGGGAAUGUCACCGGGGUUGGUCUGUGUAGAGGCGGUGUUUGAUGUCGCUGGGAAGAGAAUUUUACCAAAAAGAGAAAAGGUUGCUCCGUAUGGUGGGGCACACCUGUAAGCCCAGCACCUUGGGAUCUGAGGCAGGAGGAUUGCAUGUUUGAGGCAAGCCUGCUCAGCUUAGUGAGAUGCUGUAUUAAAAAAAAAAAAAAUUAAAAAGGGUUGGAAAUGUAGCUCAAUAGAAGAGCACCCCUGGGUUCAGUCCUCAAGAGAUGGCGAAGGACAGAGAGGCUCUGGGCGUGUCCAGCAGGUGUGUCCAGGAGUGACUGGCCUGGGGCAUAGCCAGCUAAAGUGCACAGCCUCCCUAAGUGUGGGCAGCACUGCCCAGUAGGUUGCGACUGGCCCAUUCCCAGUGCUAAUGGCUUCUUGUGGCCGGCGGCUUCCUAAUGGGGCGACAGCUUCAGGACAGCUCCGAAGCCCUAAGAGUUCUCAGCCACCCCACAUCUGAGGAUGUGCUUCUUGGUGAGAAGAGCAAGAAUAAAGAGCUGGCGCUGAUUUUGAAUUCCUGGAAGUGCAGGAGAUGGGGCCAACAACCAGCUGCAGGCUGUCUCUUGUCCAUGGAGGCCGUUAUUAAAAUCACAACCCCUGUCCAAGGAAUGCAAAUCAGGGAUACAAGGAAGUGGUAAGUUUUGCAUUUAAAAUAUUUGUGCUCUGAAGACAAAGGUGACCAAGGCACUUUUGGCCUGAUGCUUCCAGUGCGUUUGAAUUAUGAUGCUAAUAUUGCAGUGUGACUCACGGUUCCUCUCUCAACCCCAGUUCCUCUCUCAACCCUGGCUGCAAAGAAGCAGCAUGUGGGUUGCUAUACACACACACACACACACACACACACACACUCUUGGGGAAGCCAACUCUCAAACAUGGAGCAACAAGCAUGAGGAUCAAGGUUAAUGGCGUGUGCCUGAUCCCAACGACUUUCUUGCUCAUUUCUCUCCACUGUCUGGGCCUUUCAUGGAGCUAGGAUGAGUCCUGGGACCUUGCUUUGGGCAACUAGACAUAGAUGAAAGUCUGCCAGCGGCCUCUGCUAGAUGAUACUUGCGGACACUCAUCGCCUCCCUCCUAUUCUGCCUCGUACACUGCCACCACCCUGGAGGGACAGGGGCUAGUUUCCAGACAUGAGCGCAAGUAACAGAGAAUAGCAGAAGCACCUGCUGCGGGACCAAGGCAGGCCAGUGCCGUCCGUCUCCAGAUUCUUGUCACAUAAGCAACGAUGACUCUCUAUUCGUUCAGGGCGCACACCCCCCCACUGAUCCUGGGAUGUCCUUAAGGACCCUCUUAUCAGCCCAUACCUUUCUCAACUCCUCUCAGGUGUUAUGUGGCGUUGACUGGCGGCUUGGUCUAAAAGGUAUCCAGAGCCAGAAGCUGAGGCCCAUCAAGGCAGGGGCUUUGGAACGUGUGCUGGUGUUCUUGGCCUCCUGGCCAACACUGGGGAAGGGACAAGGGCAUCUUGGCGCUGUUCUAGUUAGCACUGAGCUCCCACUCCUGUCUUUCCCCUGACUAGCCCACGUGUGCCCUCGACAUGCACUGACCUUCCUUCAUCCACAGCCAACUCCGCUCUCUGUGGGUGGGUUGGACACUCUCCUCAGCUACUGCCUGGAAUCUCGCUCCACACUGAGUGGACCAUUUGGAACCACAACACCACGAUCUAUUCCAAGCCUUUCUCUGGCUCCAAAAUUUUUGCUGCUUCAUCCAUGCACAGGAGUGGACCAUCUUUGAUCUUUAAAGGCUCCAUUAUAUUAGAUGAACUCUGGACUUGCCAUGCAUUUUUGGAUGGUGACAUUUGAAUGGGUGGCCUUCUGGUACAAGAUUGGCCAGUCGGUCUGCAAGCCCUCAACCUGGUCUUGGUCUUUCCCGUUUUGGCAAUUCCCAUCAUCCUCUGGGAAACUAUGGAGCAGCCAGUUUCCAAUAUGGCGCCCAAUAAAUUCUCCCUUGUGAGAUGUGUCGUGUCCUUCCACGUUGACGAAGACUAACCGGUGGAAUAUCACCACCAAUAGAAUAUGGUGGUAAGAUGGGGCGUUAUUUUAGAGGCUAGAGCAUGGAACACAUCGCCAUUUCAGUCUUUUUCUUCCUGGUCACCAUCAGUCGGGGUGGCCAGGUGUUUUAACAUGGUGAGUACCAAGACGCCCGUGGAGAGCUCUUUCUAACAGUGCCCAGUCCCCAGUCCCCAGCCAUGUUCACAAGUCAUCUUGGGAGUUGACCAGCCCUGGUCAAGCCAUCCGACAAUGGCAGUCCCCGUGGACAGCUGAACUGCAACCUUUCGGGACACCCUGAGUCCGACUGUCCAUCGAGGCAGCACCCAAAUCGUGACCCCCAGAGCUUUUGGGUACUUAUUAAUUUGGAAAAAUAAGAAAUUAUAUGAGAAUUAAAAAAAAGAGAAAGGCCAAAUGCUAUUUUAAAAUACGAUAGGUCUAAAAAAUGUAGUUGAAGUUUAAAAAUUGAGAUUCUCAAGGGAUGCUCGAGGAGUCAGACCCUCCCUUGCUGAGAUCCUCUGAGGCUCUGAAUGGUACAGUCUGCUGCCCGUUCUGGGGCAGCCUCGGAAGCUGCUAGAAACGGGUACGACGUCUCCUUUGUUUUGUACGGACUUUCAGUACUGGGACGUCUUUGUUUUAUACUUGGGAAGAGAAGGUGCCAGAACCCUGCCCAGGAGCCCAAAUGGAGACCGACACCCAGGUGAGGUGCUUGGCUGAGGAAUGUGGCAUAGCCUGUCCACUGGAUCCAGGCAGGACUGCAGGUCAGUUGCUUUUGGAAGGAGAAAGCAGGAUGCCCGGCACUGGAAAACGAAAUCCACCUUGUUCUUGCCGCAGAUGGGGCUUGGGACACACCCAUCUCUCCUGUCUUCCCUGAAAUGAACCAGUAGGUGGAGCAGAAAGGGGGCCUUAUCAUCGGCUGGAAACGCAUCAUGGAGGAUGGAAGUCGGGCAGCAGGACUGGCCUUCGCAUCAUACUAGGCAGUAUAGAGGAUCUAGAGAUGACUUGAAGUAAAUGAGAAGCUCAGCACACCGCGCAGGGCCUGGGUUCAGUGCCCAGCGCCAGAAGACGGCAACAGCAAGCCUGGGAUGUGGACUCAUGCACGUAACGACUUCUGGCACCUAUUACGCGAAAACAGAAGCUGAGUUUGGUUGCUUUGUUUUGUUUUCGCUUCCUGAAAUAAGAAGCAGAAGAUGACGUCAUCUUCUCAAGUGUCAAAUCGGGUGACUGAUUACAGAGGGGCUGAGCGGUCGGUCACCAUUCAGCAUAAUGCAUCCUGCAAUCAGUCCCCAGAGCCGCCCAGAGGGUCUGUGUUCUAGUGUGGUCUCCAGUGGCAUCCCUUUAUCCCGUGGGCAUGAUGCUGACCGCUGCUCAUUUGCUGAUGAAGACGGAGCCUGCUGUGAGCCAGAAGUUGGAAGCAUUUCAGAGAAAGGACAGUUGAAAAGACCCAUGGUGAAGACUCCAAAGAGACCACACCAAUCAUAACAAGGGACUCCUUAUCUCCAAGGAACUUCUAACCUCGUAGGACCACUCCAGACAGCAAGAGGCAACAAAGAUAAUGGAAGAUUGCCGACAGUGCACUAGGGGCCAGCUCUUCAGUGCUGGGAAGGAGCUUGGGCCAGGGCGCAUGGGACUGCAGGUUGCAUGCCUUGGGAAAAAGAGCUCCAGUUGGAAGCGCUGCAGAUGUUGCUAGGUACGGAAGAAUAGCUAAAUCAGUUUCAAAGACUGAGGGUAUUUAUAAGCUCCAAGAACUUGCUAAAACCUCUUAGUAUCAGAAGAAUUUUGGAAAGGUCCUGACACCCUCAGAUUGUGGGUCAAUGAGGGGAAGCAGAAUUGCAGAUGAGCAAUUGCAGAAGGUGCCUCUCAGAAGUCAGUCUGUGGAAAUGAUUCUGGAGGAUUUGUCUAGAGGAAGCUAAAUGCCAAGUGCAAGGCUUGGACCAAGGCUCAGCGUGGUGGCAGUGCCGGCAGAUUUGGGGUGCAGCGAGCGAGCUCUGUGGGAACUCCAGAAUGAGGACCCACACAGCCAACAGAAGGAGCUGAAUUGGGAAGCCAGAAUUUACGAAAACUUGGUCCAAGUUGGGACAGGUCUCUGCGUGGAGGUUGAGCCUCCUCCUUGUGACCCACCUGGAGCAUGGCGGGUCCAGGCUGGGCUGGCGGGGAAGUGCUUUGCUCAGCCCCGGGGCCAGCAGAGACAUCCUUCUGCACGAGCCCAGACAGAGAUCCAUCUCUGCCUGGUUCUCGCAGUUCCAGCUAAUUACCUCCGCGCCUGUGGAUGUGAGCGUUGGAAACGGCCUCCUGUACAUCUGCCUUAUUAGAAUGCAGCCCGGCUGCCUCCAGACAAAACAUCCUCUAAAUGAGAUUUGCUCUCAAGUAUCUGGUGUGUGGGAGGAGGCCGCAAACCAAGCGGUGGAGCUUUCAAAUGCAUCACGGAAAAAUGCAUAAGGGUAUCCAGCGAGCUCCUGCACUCCACGCGUCUUGUUAUAAUCAGCAGUGUGAAGGAGUCAGCAUUUCUGUCCUGAACUCUCAGAGGUGGGAUGAGCCGUGGAGAUGUUCAUAACAGUGACUUGUUUACUUUGUCAUUUCCCCUCCUGACCCUCUCCUCUCCCUAGCUCUCCAAAAGACAGGCAAUUUGGCUUAUUGCUGGCCUAUUUGAACUCGUGCAAUUCAAACAUGGUAUUUUUUUUUUUUGGUUUUGUUUUUUCAAAACACAGUUUGUCACCCAUCCAGCCUCAUUUGGCAGGAGCCUUUGCUACACAGAAUCCUACCGAGAUUCCAAUACUCGCGUCUGAAGAGGAGUAUCUCUCUACAGGCUGUCAAGAUUUUAUCUUCCCGUACUCUGAAUCCAGCUCUCUAGAAAGCUGGUUAGUAUGUUGGCUUAAACCUCUGGGGAAGCCUCCCCUCCCCUCCCCAGGCAAUGAUGGAAAGAAGAGGGUCCAUCUUUCCUCCAAACUUCUCUGGUCCACACUCCAAAAUUCUACGGAUGCUUCAGUUGGUAUAUCGCACAUGCACUGCCUUCCCGGAGCCAUCGCAUGCCCCCUGGAGCCGUGGAUUUCAUCAAAACCUUCGCUCACAGCUGGGUGUGGUGGUGCAAGCCCGUAAUCACAGCAGCAGCUUGGGAGGCUGAGUCUUAGCUGUCAAUCCCCACCCCCAUGGGUACGCAGAGAUUUCCUGAUGAUAAGCAGCACCGCUCCAAACGCACGGCCUGAACACGGAAAUUCUCAGUGGGACUUCACACGUCAAUCCGGCACGUGUUUAGGGAGCACCUUGGGCCAGGAACUCCCAGGCGCUUCUUGAAGGCAGGAGGGGGAGUAGAUGUAUCAGGGAAUAUAAAACACACAGAACCCCGGCAGGAGCUGCCUGCUGGGAGGGAGACAGAGGAUCCAUGAUCGCAACAGGUAAGUGAAUGCCGCCGACCGUUACAAGUCCGCAAGCCCUGUGUGCAAACACUCUUUAUAGCCAGGUGCAGUGGCGUACCCCUGUAAUCCCAGUAACCCAGGAGGCCGAGGCAGGAGGAUCGCAGAUGAGAUCA